rnacentral:rRNA from 1 species
AUACGGAGGGUGCAAGCGUUAUCGGGAUUCAUUGGGUUUAAAGGGUGCGCAGGCGGAAUGAUAAGUCAGUGGUGAAAUCCUACAGCUUAACUGUAGAACUGCCAUUGAUACUGUCAUUCUUGAGUACACUUGAAGUGGGCGGAAUGUAUCAUGUAGCGGUGAAAUGCAUAGAUAUGAUACAGAACUCCGAUAGCGAAGGCAGCUCACUAAAUUGUAACUGACGCUCAGGCACGAAAGCGUGGGGAGCAAACAGGAUUAGAAACCCGGGUAGUCC